AUUGAACGCUGGCGGCAGGCCUAACACAUGCAAGUCGAGCGAGCGGCGGACGGGUGAGUAAUGCCUAGGAGUGUGCCUGGUAGAGGGGGAUAACGUACGGAAAGGGGCGCUAAUACCGCCUACUAUCAGUUGAGCCUAGGCCGGUUUAGCUAGUAGGUGGGGAAAAGGCUUACCUAGCCGACGAUCCCUAGCUGGUCUGAGAGGAAGACCAGCCACACUGGAACUGAGACACGGCCCAGACUCCUACGGGAGGCAGCAGUGGGGAAUAUUGCACAAUGGGCGCAAGCCUGAUGCAGCCAUGCCGCGUGUAUGAAGAAGGCCUUAGGGUUGUAAAGUACUUUCAGCCGGGAGGCGUUACCCACAGAAGAAGCACCGGCUAACUCCGUGCCAGCAGCCGCGGUAAUUC
rnacentral:rRNA from 1 species